UACGAAGGGGGCUAGCGUUGCUCGGAAUCACUGGGCGUAAAGGGCGCGUAGGCGGCCAUUUAAGUCGGGGGUGAAAGCCUGUGGCUCAACCACAGAAUUGCCUUCGAUACUGGAUGGCUUGAGACCGGAAGAGGUAAGUGGAACUGCGAGUGUAGAGGUGAAAUUCGUAGAUAUUCGCAAGAACACCAGUGGCGAAGGCGGCUUACUGGUCCGGAUCUGACGCUG
rnacentral:rRNA from 1 species